rnacentral:rRNA from 1 species
CAGAUAAGCCUGCAUGUCUAAGUAUAAGCAACUUGUACUGUGAAACUGCGAAUGGCUCAUUAAAUCAGUUAUCGUUUAUUUGAUAGUACCUUACUACAUGGAUACCUGUGGUAAUUCUAGAGCUAAUACAUGCUAAAAACCCCGACUUCAGGAAGGGGUGUAUUUAUUAGAUAAAAAACCAACGCCCUUCGGGGCUCCUUGGUGAAUCAUAAUAACUUAACGAAUCGCAUGGCCUUGCGCCGGCGAUGGUUCAUUCAAAUUUCUGCCCUAUCAACUUUCGAUGGUAGGAUAGUGGCCUACCAUGGUGGCAACGGGUAACGGGGAAUUAGGGUUCGAUUCCGGAGAGGGAGCCUGAGAAACGGCUACCACAUCCAAGGAAGGCAGCAGGCGCGCAAAUUACCCAAUCCCGAUACGGGGAGGUAGUGACAAUAAAUACUGAUACGGGGCUCUUUUGGGUCUCGUAAUUGGAAUGAGAACAAUUUAAAUCCCUUAACGAGGAACAAUUGGAGGGCAAGUCUGGUGCCAGCAGCCGCGGUAAUUCCAGCUCCAAUAGCGUAUAUUAAAGUUGUUGCAGUUAAAAAGCUCGUAGUUGAACCUUGGGUCUGGCUGGCCGGUCCGCCUCACCGCGAGUACUGGUCCGGCUGGACCUUUCCUUCUGGGGAACCUCAUGGCCUUCACUGGCUGUGGGGGGAACCAGGACUUUUACUGUGAAAAAAUUAGAGUGUUCAAAGCAGGCCUUUGCUCGAAUACAUUAGCAUGGAAUAAUAGAAUAGGACGUGUGGUUCUAUUUUGUUGGUUUCUAGGACCGCCGUAAUGAUUAAUAGGGAUAGUCGGGGGCGUCAGUAUUCAGCUGUCAGAGGUGAAAUUCUUGGAUUUGCUGAAGACUAACUACUGCGAAAGCAUUCGCCAAGGAUGUUUUCAUUAAUCAGGGAACGAAAGUUAGGGGAUCGAAGACGAUCAGAUACCGUCGUAGUCUUAACCAUAAACUAUGCCGACUAGGGAUCGGACGGGAUUCUAUGAUGACCCGUUCGGCACCUUACGAGAAAUCAAAGUUUUUGGGUUCUGGGGGGAGUAUGGUCGCAAGGUGAAUAG